CCCCUAGAUGUUCUGGGCCGCACGCGCGCUACACUGAACAGUUCAACAAGUCUUAACCUUGGCCGAUAGGUCUGGGUAAUCUUUGAACGCUGUUCGUGAUUGGGAUAGACCUUUGCAAUUAUGGGUCUUCAACGAGGAAUUCCUAGUAAACGCAAGUCAUCAGCUUGCAUUGAUUACGUCCCUGCCCUUUGUACACACCGCCCGUCGCACCUACCGAUUGAAUGGUCCGGUGAAAUCUCGGGACGGCUGAUUAACCGCUUGCGGUUGACGGCUGAAACUUGAUUAAACCAUAUCAUUUAGAGGAAGGUGAAGUCGUAACA
rnacentral:rRNA from 1 species